UGGGGAAUAUUGCACAAUGGGCGCAAGCCUGAUGCAGCAACGCCGCGUGAGGGACGACGGCCUUCGGGUUGUAAACCUCUUUUAGUAGGGAAGAAGCGAAAGUGACGGUACCUGCAGAAAAAGCACCGGCUAACUACGUGCCAGCAGCCGCGGUAAUACGUAGGGUGCGAGCGUUGUCCGGAAUUAUUGGGCGUAAAGAGCUCGUAGGCGGUCUGUCGCGUCUGCUGUGAAAACCCGAGGCUCAACCUCGGGGCCUGCAGUGGGUACGGGCAGACUAGAGUGCGGUAGGGGAGAAUGGAAUUCCUGGUGUAGCGGUGGAAUGCGCAGAUAUCAGGAGGAACACCGAUGGCGAAGGCAGUUCUCUGGGCCGUAACUGACGCUGAGGAGCGAAAGCGUGGGGAGCGAACAGGAUUAGAUACCCUGGUAGUCCACGCCGUAAACGUUGGGCGCUAGAUGUGGGGACCAUUCCACGGUUUCCGUGUCGCAGCUAACGCAUUAAGCGCCCCGCCUGGGGAGUACGGCCGCAAGGCUAAAA
rnacentral:rRNA from 1 species